rnacentral:rRNA from 1 species
CCUACGGGGGGCAGCAGUGAGGAAUAUUGGUCAAUGGACGAGAGUCUGAACCAGCCAAGUAGCGUGAAGGAUGACUGCCCUCUGGGUUUUAAACUUCUUUUAUAUGGGAAUAAAACAGGGUAUGCAUACCCUCUUGUAUGUACCAUAUGAAUAAGGAUCGGCUAACUCCGUGCCAGCAGCCGCGGUAAUAUGGAGGAUCCGAGCGUUAUCCGGAUUUAUUGGGUUUAAAGGGAGCGUAGGUGGAUUGUUAAGUCAGUUGUGAAAGUUUGCGGCUCAACCGUAAAAUUGCAGUUGAAACUGGCAGUCUUGAGUACAGUAGAGGUGGGCGGAAUUCGAGGUGUAGCGGUGAAAUGCUUAGAUAUCACGAAGAACUCCGAUGGCGAAGGCAGCUCACUGGACUGCAACUGACACUGAUGCUCGAAAGUGUGGGUAGCAAACAGGAGUAGAUACCCCAGUAGUC